rnacentral:rRNA from 1 species
AGCAGUAUUGAACUGAAGAGUUUGAUCAUGGCUCAGAUUGAACGCUGGCGGCAGGCCUAACACAUGCAAGUCGAGCGGAUGAAGGGAGCUUGCUCCUGGAUUCAGCGGCGGACGGGUGAGUAAUGCCUAGGAAUCUGCCUGGUAGUGGGGGAUAACGUCCGGAAACGGGCGCUAAUACCGCAUACGUCCUGAGGGAGAAAGUGGGGGAU